CAGUACUUAAACAGGGUCUGCCUUUAGAGGAACUCUGAGUCCUGGAGAGUAGAGAAGAGCAACCGCCACCAGUUCAGCUUCAACACAAACCAUGUACCCUGCAUCUCUACUGCUGAUGCUGGCAGCUGCCUCCUGUGUUCACUGUGAAGAACUCACUCAGCCAGCCUCUAUGACUGUCCAGUCAGGUCAACCACUGACCAUCUCUUGUAAGGUUUCAUAUUCUGUAGGUAGCUAUUACACAGCUUGGAUCCGGCAGCCUGCAGGGAAAACACUGGAGUGGAUUGGAAUGAAAUAUACUGGAGGAACGCACCACAAAGACUCCCUGAAAAAUAAGUUCAGCCUCACAGUAGACUCCUCCAGCAAUACUGUGACUUUAACAGGACAGAGUCUGCAGACUGAGGACACAGCUGUGUAUUAUUGUGCUCGCCUCCACAGUGAUACAAACCACCACCAGACCUAUACUAAAACUCACUCAACCUUUAAACAGUAG